UCUUGGUCAUUUAGAGGAAGUAAAAGUCGUAACAAGGUCUCCGUUGGUGAACCAGCGGAGGGAUCAUUACAGAGUUGCAAAACUCCCUAAACCAUUGUGAACGUUACCUAAACCGUUGCUUCGGCGGGCGGCCCGGGUCCUUCCCGGCGCCCAUCGGCCCUCGCGGGCGCCCGCCGGAGGUAAACCAAACUAUUGCAUUGUAUGGCCUCUCUGAGUCUUCUGUACUGAAUAAGUCAAAACUUUCAACAACGGAUCUCUUGGUUCUGGCAUCGAUGAAGAACGCAGCGAAAUGCGAUAAGUAAUGUGAAUUGCAGAAUUCAGUGAAUCAUCGAAUCUUUGAACGCACAUUGCGCCCGCCAGUAUUCUGGCGGGCAUGCCUGUUCGAGCGUCAUUUCAACCAUCAAGCCCCGGGCUUGUGUUGGGGACCUGCGGCUGCCGCAGGCCCUGAAAUGCAGUGGCGGGCUCGCUGUCACUCCGAGCGUAGUAGUUACAUCUCGCUCUGGGCGUGCUGCGGGUUCCGGCCGUUAAAAGCCUUAUUUACCCAAGGUUGACCUCGGAUCAGGUAGGAAGACCCGCUGAACUUAAGCAUAUCAAUAAGCGGA
rnacentral:rRNA from 1 species